GAUGAACGCUGACAGAAUGCUUAACACAUGCAAGUCUUUGGCGAAUCUGUGCUUGCACAGGCUAGCCAAGGCGGACGGGUGAGUAACGCGUAAAGAACUUGCCCUGCAGACAGGGAUAACAGACGGAAACGACUGAUAACACCUGAUACAGUUGCCGGCACGCAUGUGCCUGGCAAUGAAAAGAGAUGCUGCAGGAGAGCUUUGCGUCCUAUUAGCUUGUUGGUGAGGUGACGGCUCACCAAGGCGAUGAUAGGUAGCCGGCCUGAGAGGGUGAACGGCCACAAGGGGACUGAGAUACGGCCCUGACUCCUACGGGAGGCAGCAGUGGGGAAUAUUGGACAAUGGGGGCAACCCUGAUCCAGCAAUUCUGUGUGCACGAAGAAGGUUUUCGGAGUGUAAAGUGCUUUCAGAAGGGAAGAAGAAAGUGACGGUACCUGCAGAAGAAGCGACGGCUAAAUACGUG
rnacentral:rRNA from 1 species